rnacentral:rRNA from 1 species
GAUGAACGCUGGCGGCGUGCCUAAUACAUGCAAGUCGAGCGAACAGACGAGGAGCUUGCUCCUCUGACGUUAGCGGCGGACGGGUGAGUAACACGUGGAUAACCUACCUAUAAGACUGGGAUAACUUCGGGAAACCGGAGCUAAUACCGGAUAAUAUAUUGAACCGCAUGGUUCAAUAGUGAAAGACGGUUUUGCUGUCACUUAUAGAUGGAUCCGCGCCGCAUUAGCUAGUUGGUAAGGUAACGGCUUACCAAGGCAACGAUGCGUAGCCGACCUGAGAGGGUGAUCGGCCACACUGGAGCUGAGACACGGUCCAGACUCAUACGGGAGGCAGCAGUAGGGAAUCUUCCGCAAUGGGCGAAAGCCUGACGGAGCAACGCCGCGUGAGUGAUGAAGGUCUUCGGAUCGUAAAACUCUGUUAUUAGGGAAGAACAAAUGUGUAAGUAACUAUGCACGUCUUGACGGUACCUAAUCAGAAAGCCACGGCUAACUACGUG